UGGUUGAUCCUGCCAGAGGUCAUUGCUAUCCGGGUUCGAUUUAGACAUGCGAGUCGAGAGGGGUAAGCCCUCGGCGAACUGCUCUGUAAUAUGCAGUCAACCUACCCUUAUCAGGGGGAUACAUUCGGGAAACUGAACUCAAUACCCCAUAGGUAUAAAUUUCUGGAAUGAUUUUAUACUCAAAGCUACGGUGGAUAAGGAUGGGACUGCAUCCUAUCAGGCUGUUGUCAGUGUAAUGAACUGACAAACCGAUAACAGGUAUGGGCUAUGGAAGUAGGUGCCUAGAGAUGGAUUCUGAGACAUAAAUCCAGGUCUUACGAGAUGCAGCAGUUACGAAAACUUUGCUAUUUGCUAACGCAAGACAAGGGAACCUGGAGUGUUCUUGCUUUGCAAGAACUUUUGCCUUCUGAAAACGGGAAGGUGAAUAAGGGCUGGGGAACACGGGUGCCAGCCACCGCGGUAAUACCCGGAGCCCAAGUGAUGGCCAGAUUUAUUGGGUCUAAAGCGUUCGUAGCCGGCUCAAAAAGUCCAUAGUGAAAUCUUUCAGCUAACUGAAAGGCUUGCUUUGGAUACUUUUGGGCUUGAGACUGGGAGAGGGUUGGGAUACUUUCAGGGUAGGGGUAAAAUCCUGUAAUCCUGAGGGGAUCACCUGUGGCGAAGGCGCCAACCUGGAACGGGUCUGACGGUGAGGAACGAAAGCUAGGGGAGCGAUUGGGAUUAGAUACCCCAGUAGUCCUAGCUGUAAACAAUGCCCACUUGGUGUUGCAAGCUUCUCGGGAGCUUGCAGUGCCGGAGCGUAGGUGUUAAGUGGGCCACCUGGGAAGUACGGUCGCAAGGCUGAAACUUAAGGGAAUUGGCGGGGGAGCACACAAGGGGUGGGCGUUGCGGUUUAAUUGGAUUAAACGCCGGAAAUCUUACCAGAGGCGACAGCAGGAUGAGGGUCAGUCUGAAGGGCUUACCAGACAAGCUGAGAGGUGCUGCAUGGCCAUCGUCAGCUCGUACCGUGAGGCGUGCCGUUAAGUCGGUUAACGAGCGAGACCCAUGCUCUAUGUUGCAACUCUUCUCUCUGGAGAAGGGGCACUCAUAGAGGACCGCUGGCGAUAAGCCAGAGGAAGGUAUGGGCGACGGUAGGUCCGUAUGGCCCAAAUCUUCUGGGCUACACGCGACGCACAAUGCAUGCCACAAUGGGAUGCAACUCCGAAAGGAGAAGCUAAUCUCCUAAAAGCAUGCCCAGUUCAGAUCGAAGGUUGUAACUCACCUUCGUGAAGCCGGAAUCCCUAGUAAGCGAACGUCACUAUCGUUCGCUGAAUAAGUCCCUGCUCCUUGCACACACCGCCCGUCAAGCCAAUCGAGUGAAACUCAAACGAGGCUCUCUCUUAAUGGGAAAUUCGAAUUUGAGUUUUGUGAGAGGGGCUAAGUCGCCACAAGGUA
rnacentral:rRNA from 1 species